AACAAGACAACCAGUGGACGGAUGCUUGACACUGUCAUUUUUCAAUGACAACCGGUACCACCAUCAAAUAGUGAGGAGAGCAUUCCAUCACUUCCACCACCUACCAGUGUGGACACCACCCAGCGUCAUUGUAGCAGAAGCAAAUUGGAAACUGGCCUUCGAUGUCCCUCUUGGGACAUUUAAAAGGCCUGAUCCAGACACCAUAGCGGACAAGGACCUACAGGUGGACAUUGUCAAGGCGUGGUCGGAUCUGGACCGUUCACAAAUUGCUGAGGGCCUCAUAUCAGGUUUGGACCAAAUUGUUAAAGUGAUAUAUAUUAUAAUUAUGUAUAUGCUCCACUAACUAAAUCUUUGAACAAAUGAAUGUUCAAUAUGAUAUGUUUUACAAAUAGGGUCCAUAUUGCUUAUCUGUUGGCCACUCCACUUUGGCACCUUGGAUGGGAGAGCACACCAGAGUUGGAAACGUUCUCCCUAAAACAGAAGUUAAAAAAAAGGCAAUGAAAAGGAAAACUGGGGAUUUCAAACAUCCUGCCAAAAAAAAUAAAUGAGGACAUAAUACUUUAACUGAUUGAGUCAAACAAGCCACAGAAAAAGGAUCUCCAGGAAGCUUGUGACACCCUGGGUGUCUCCUCAGAGGGGUCCAUAGCCGACAUGCUGAACAGGCUUCAGGAAUUAUUAAACUUCAAAGAUGUUUACCCAAAGCUGUUUGUGAAACUGCUGGUGGUGAGAUCUUAUUUGUGAAAAUUCUUCUUUUUACAUUCUAUAAACUUUAGUUAUAUGAUUGCCAUUUAAAAUCUUUUAUUCUGAAGGUUGAGUACUUCACUUCAGCUGUCCACAUGGCGUUGUGUAUUACGUCAACAUUCUCUUCUGGACAGAGUCCGCAAGAGAUCACGCGGACGGGCUGCUGAGUUUUAAACACUUCCCUACCUGUUACAUUUCGGACGUUGCAGGACAGGUUGCUCGUCACGCACAAAACAGCAAUAUUUCCAGCCAUUUGACGGAAGACUCUGUGGCACAACAUCAAACAACAUGAAACUGGCGGCUGAUAAACAAUUAAAAAGGUUGACCUGCAGUGGGUGAAGAACCUGCGAUCAACAUUACCACUGCAGGAAAUGCCAGAUAAUGAUAGGAUGGCAGCAAGGCAUCCCAUUAGGUACUCUCUGUACGACAGAUUCCACCAGAAAAAUCAAAGAAGGCCUGAAGAGAAGUUGAGAAGCCUCAACAUCUGCCCCAGUUUACGGAGAGAGGUGAACUCAUCUGUUGCAGAGCAGUUCAAUCGUGAACUUUCUUCCGUAAAAUAUUCAUUGUGCCAAAUGAACGAGCCACACGUCAAACAAACCUUAAGGGUGCUCAUCGAACUGCAUAAUGAAAGGAUAAACACAACCUUCAAAGCACAAAUGGAGGACAUGUGCAACACACAGUUGUACGUUUGACUUCAUGGGAUGCUGGGACUGCAGUCUGCCGAAGCAAAGGAAAAUCCACUUCCUUCGGUGGGCCAAAACAUCGAACAUAAACAAAUGAAGUCGUCAUUCGUUGCACGAUCCUAUGCAAUCACUGUAAAGGACCAGGAAAAACUCAAACUAUUCACAGGAUGCCGUGCCGAAACUGCAACUAUAGUUGAAAUAUUGAGGCUAUAUGCAGUGUCUUUAAAAGACAUUGAGUGUUUGCCCACCAGAACUGUUGGGGCUGACUGAUGAUGUAAGGGUACCACAAUGACAACCAUAAUGUCAGUUACAGCAGAAUUUAAAGACCGAACGGUUUUUAUCAGAAUCUCAGAAAUGUACUUAAUCUUCCUAUUGAAUUCCAGGCAGUCAACUAUCGAGUAGCACUGCUGGCUCAAGAAAACCAGGUAACUGUAAAAUUAUCCAUUUAUUAUUAUUUUAUAUUGAUGCUUUUAUAUGUUCACACACAUUAAUUACAUGUUCUGUUGAAGUGUGGUGCUUUGGGUACCUGUUGAUUUCAUUUUGUGGCACCGACAAUGGAACAACAGUGGAGCAGUCAGUGACAGUUGUUAAAUGCAUUCCUGUAGGUACUUUUAAUAAUGGUCUAUGCAUAAUGAAACAAAUUGUAC
ensembl:lncRNA